rnacentral:rRNA from 1 species
AUUGGGCCUAAGCAUCCGUAGCCGGUUCUACAAGUCUUCCGUUAAAUCCACCUGCUCAACAGAUGGGCUGCGGAAGAUACUAUGGAGCUAGGAGGCGGGAGAGGCAAGCGGUACUCGAUGGGUAGGGGUAAAAUCCGUUGAUCCAUUGAAGACCACCAGUGGCGAAGGCGGCUUGCCAGAACGCGCUCGACGGUGAGGGAUGAAAGCUGGGGGAGCAAACCGGAUUAGAUACCCCCGUAG